GGCAGCAGCUAAGAAUAUUCCACAAUGGACGGAAGUCUGAUGGAGCGACGCCGCGUGCGCGAUGAAGGCCGUGAGGUUGUAAAGCGCUUUUCUUGAGGGGGAACAACACAUCCAGGGAAUGGGAUGUGGAUGACGUGAAUCGAGGAAUAAGCCCCGGCUAACUACGUGCCAGCAGCCGCGGUAACACGUAGGGGGCGAGCGUUGUUCGGAAUCAUUGGGCGUAAAGGGCGCGCAGGCGGCCCGGUAAGUCUGGUGUAAAAUGGUCGUGCUCAACACGAUCAUGCGCUGGAAACUGUCGGGCUAGAGUCAACGAGGGGAUGCCGGAAUUCCAGGUGUAGGGGUGAAAUCUGUAGAUAUCUGGAAGAACACCGAUGGCGAAGGCAGGCAUCUGGCGACUGACUGACGCUGAGGCGCGAAGGUGCGGGGAGCAAACAGGUUUAGAUACCCUGGUAGUCCGCACAGUAAACGAUGUGCACCGGGUGGCGGGCAGCAGUGCUCGGUACCGAAGCAAACGCAUUAAGUGCACCGCCUGGGGAGUAUGCCCGCAAGGGUGAAACUCAAAGGAAUUGACGG
rnacentral:rRNA from 1 species